rnacentral:rRNA from 1 species
CUACGGGCGGCUCCAGUGAGGAAUUUUGCGCAAUGGGGGAAACCCUGACGCAGCAACGCCGCGUGAGUGAAGAAGGCCCUUGGGUCGUAAAGCUCUGUCAAUGGGGAAGAAGUUACUUGGUAUUAAUAGUGCCUUGUAUUGACGGUACCCAUGAAGGAAGCACCGGCUAACUCCGUGCCAGCAGCCGCGGUAAUACGGGGGGUGCAAGCGUUAUUCGGAAUUAUUGGGCGUAAAGGGCACGCAGGCGGUCCUGUCAGUCAGGUGUGAAAGCCCGGGGCUCAACCCCGGACGUGCAUUUGAAACAGCAGGACUUGAGUACGGGAGAGGGAAGGGGAAUUCCUGGUGUAGAGGUGAAAUUCGUAGAUAUCAGGAGGAACACCGGUGGCGAAGGCGCCUUUCUGGACCGAUACUGACGCUGAGGUGCGAAGGCGUGGGUAGCGAACGGGAUUAGAUACCCUAGUAGUC